rnacentral:rRNA from 1 species
AACAAAAAGUACCGCAAGGGAUAAAAACAGUUGGUAAAGAAGGGGCUCAUACCCGUACCUUUUGCAUAAUGGGGUGUUUAUGGAGAAAGCGAAAAUUGUUCCUGAGGUCUUUUGAGCUACUUUUAUUGAGGUAGAAAUGUGACAUUAAUUUCUAGUAAGAUAAAAGUAGAGGUGAUAUGCUUUACACAAAGGAUGAUAUCUGGUUACAGGCGAAAUGUGUGCAGCACAGCUCAAAAUUAUUUUUUGAAGUGAGGGGAAUGGGGUUGAGCUCGUUCCUUAGAGUAAAAGGGGAUUAGGAAUAGUAAAAAUGAUGAAGGUAGGCCUGGAAACAGCCAUCCAAUGGAGUAAGUUAUAUUUCACAUCAUCGGAGGAUAAGAUUAAAUAGUAUGCUUUUAAUUUGGUAGCCUGUUAUUUACUGUAAUAAACUUGUAAAAAGAUUAGAACAUCAUGAGUAGCAGUAGAAAAUGUUUAGUUUUUAGUGUGAGGAAUAAGGUGUAGAAAAAAUAAAAUUAAUAGAUUUACGUAAGGAACUCGGCAAAAAUUUGCUCCGCCUGUUUAUCAAAAACAUGGCCCUGUGGGAAAAAUAUACAGGGUCGGGCCUGCCCGGUGAUUUUAGGAUUAAACGGCCGCUGUAAUUGGUGCGAUGGUAGCAAAAUCUAUAGCCCUUUAAUUGGGGGCGUGUGAAUGGUUUAGACGUGGGUGAGACUGUCUCGUGUAGAAUAAGUGAAAUUUACUUUUAGGUGCAAAGGCCUAAAUAAUAAGGCUGGACGAGAAGACCCUGUAGAGCUUUAUCCAAAAUUGGAAUUGAUUGGGGCAAUCGAAGAGCAAAAAAAACCUCUUGACUUAGGAAGAAUGAUAGAUGAACCGCACUAUUUGCGAUUAUUAGAAGGAGCUACCGCAGGGAUAACAGCGUAAUCUUUCUUGAGAGUUCAUAUUGACGGAAGGGUUUGCGACCUCGAUGUUGAAUUAGGGUAUUCGUGGGGUGCAGAAGUCUCAUAGAAUAGGUCUGUUCGACCUUUAAAACCCUACAUGAUUUGAGUUCAGACCGGCGUGAGCCAGGUUGGUUUCUAUCCUCCUUAUAAAUCUUAGGCCUAUUUGUACGAAAGGACCAUAGGCCUUAACUGAGUUAAGUUAAAA